CGGUUAGCUCAGCACGGGAGAGCGCUUGCCUUACAAGCAAGAUGUCACAGGUUCAAAUCCUGUACCGC
rnacentral:tRNA from 1 species